GCAGCCGCCGCGGUAAUACGAAGGGGGCUAGCGUUGCUCGGAAUUACUGGGCGUAAAGGGCGCGUAGGCGGAUAGUUUAGUCAGAGGUAAAAGCCCAGGGCUCAACCUUGGAACUGCCUAUGAUACUGGCUAUCUUGAGUUCGGGAGAGGUGAGUGGAAUGCCGAGUGUAGAGGUGAAAUUCGUAGAUAUUCGGCGGAACACCAGUGGCGAAGGCGACUCACUGGCCCGAUACUGACGCUGAGGCGCGAAAGCGUGGGGAGCAAACAGGAUUAGAUACCCCCGUAGUCCCUGUCUCUUAUAC
rnacentral:rRNA from 1 species